AAAUAAAUUGAGUUUGAUGAUGGCUCUGAAUGAACGCUGUCCAAAUGCUUGACACAUGCUAAUCGAACGGCAAAUCUUUUCUAGAUUCAAAUAUCUAAAUUAGAAGCAGUGGUGUACAGGUGAGUAAUAGAUUUUAUAAUUGCCUUAGAGUUAGGUAUAAAAUCCCUAAUAUUAACAAAGAAACAAAGCUUUGUGUUCGCUCUAAGAAUUUUUUAUCUCGUGUAUUAGUAGUUAAGGUAAACUAGAACUAGCUUUAUUGUAUACACGUAGUCGAAACUGAAAGGUUGAUCGAUCACAAUGUGGCCUGAACAAAGCCCAUGACAAAAGUAGCAGCAGUGAGGAAUAUUGGUCAAUAGCCUAACGGCUGAACCAGCAACUUGGAGGAAUGAAAAGCGAAAGCUAAUUGCAUUUACUUAAAAUUAAAUUUUAAGAGAGUGUCCCUUUUUAUUUAUAAAAAAUUGGAUGGCUUUUAAGAGAGUGGUCCCUUUUUAUUUUAAAAAUUUGAAAACCUUUUAAAGAGGAAGGGUCCAUUUUUUAUGUAGUUACUACUUUGUAGUUUAAAAUUCUAGAUAGAAUUAUGAUGAUGACAUUAUCUAUCUAUUAGUCUUGACCAAAUUACGUGCCAGCAGUCGCGGUAAUACGUAAAAGACAAGUGUUAUUCAUCUUUAUUGGGUUUAAAGAGUACCAAGACGGUUAAUAAAGCCCAAAAUACAUGAACACAGGGGACACAUUAACUAGAGUUAUAUGAAAGGAAGCACUAAAGUACUGUUGAGUGUAGAGAUAAAAUUCUAUCAUACCAGAUAAAGGCACAGAUUUAUGCGAAGGCAUCUUCUUAUGUAAUAACUGACGUUGUAGGACGAAGGCUUUUUAAGUGAAGAGGAUUAGAGACCCUUGUAAUCUAAGCAGAAAAUGAUGAAUGUCAUAGGUUUAAUAUAUUAUUGGGUCUAUAAAUGAAAGUGUAAGCAUUCCACCUCAAGAGUAAUUUGGCAACAUUGGAACUGAAAUCAUUAGACCGUUUCUGAAACCAGUAGUGAAGUAUGUUGUUUAAUUAGAUGAUACACAAAAAACCUUACCACAAUUUGAAUAUAUAUCUUUAAAGAUAUUUACAAGCGUUGCACGGCUGUCUUCAGUUAAUGUCGUGAGAUUUUGGUUAGUUCCAUAAAAUUAACGUAAACCCUCGUUUUAUUUAGAAAUAAAAUUUAGAUCUGUUUCAAUUGAUUUGAGAUAAGAAAAGGGACUAUGACAAGUCAUCAUGGCCAAAAUAUUGUGGGCUAUAGACGUGCCACAUAAGCCUUACAAAGGGAUGCUAAAUUGCGAAAUUAAGCUAAUCCCCUAAAAUUGGAUAUACAAUAAAAUGGAUUGUUGUCUGUAACUCGACUGCAUGAAAUAGGAAUUACUAGUAAUCGUGAAUAAGUAUGUCACGGUGAAUUUAUCUCAGCUAGGUACUAACAACUCGUCAGGCGCUGAAAUUAGUGUGUGCAAUAAGUUUGGUUACCGUUUUCUAUUAAUCUGGGUAAUUAGACCUAGAAUUUAAGAUAAGUAUAUCUUCGUAUGCAUGACUUUGAUGGGUGUUAAGUCGAAAUACGGUUCGUGUAGUGGAAGUUGCACGGGUUUAAUUAAUAUUA
rnacentral:rRNA from 1 species